rnacentral:rRNA from 1 species
AACGAACGCUGGCGGCAUGCCUAACACAUGCAAGUCGAACGAGAUCUUCGGGUCUAGUGGCGCACGGGUGCGUAACGCGUGGGAAUCUGCCCUUUGGUUCGGAAUAACAGUUGGAAACGACUGCUAAUACCGGAUGAUGACGAAAGUCCAAAGAUUUAUCGCCAGAGGAUGAGCCCGCGUAGGAUUAGCUAGUUGGUGUGGUAAAGGCGCACCAAGGCGACGAUCCUUAGCUGGUCUGAGAGGAUGAUCAGCCACACUGGGACUGAGACACGGCCCAGACUCCUACGGGAGGCAGCAGUGGGGAAUAUUGGACAAUGGGCGAAAGCCUGAUCCAGCAAUGCCGCGUGAGUGAUGAAGGCCUUAGGGUUGUAAAGCUCUUUUACCCGGGAUGAUAAUGACAGUACCGGGAGAAUAAGCUCCGGCUAACUCCGUGCCGGCAGCCGCCGCAG